rnacentral:rRNA from 1 species
CCUUUUGUAUAAUGGGUCAGCGACUUAUAUUCAGUGGCAAGGUUAACCAUCUAGGGGAGCCGUAGGGAAACCGAGUCUUAACUGGGCGUUCAGUCUCUGGAUAUAGACCCGAAACCAGGUGAUCUAGCCAUGGGCAGGUUGAAGGUUGAGUAACAUCAACUGGAGGACCGAACCGACUAAUGUUGAAAAAUUAGCGGAUGACUUGUGGCUAGGGGUGAAAGGCCAAUCAAACCUGGAGAUAGCUGGUUC